rnacentral:tRNA from 1 species
GCCGGGAUAGCUCCGUUGGUAGAGCAGAGGACUGAAAAUCCUCGUGUCACC